AUUCACCAGAUAGAGCAGGUACAUAGCUCCAUUUUUAUCUUUUGGCAUGGUUGUUAGAUGACUUCCAAUUUAUGAAUCAUUAGGUUAAUUAUUUAUGUAGUACUCUUAUGUAUGAGCUUAUCAUUUUUUUUUCAUUAUUAAUGUUGCACUUUAAUUAUUAUGAAUCAACAUUAUUAAUUACUAAUGCUGUUAGUAGGAUUAUCCAGUUAGUAAGAACCUACUUGUACUUUAUAGAGUGUACACCUCACCCCUUAGUAUAGAAGGGUUGUUGAUUAUUAUAUAUUUAUAUAUUUGAAUAUGGGCUCAUACAAGUAUGUUGGUUUAAUAUUGAUAUUUGGUAUGGAACUAUGGAACUAACAAUAUUAUACACUACUUCUCUCAGGUUGUAUGUUGUAUUUUUGAUAUUUGAUUACCUACUUUUUUUUUAUAGAUGUAUCUUUUAUUAUCUUGUUAUUAGAUUUGCCAUAUUGGAAAGAUGUGGUGGUUCUUAACUUGAUAUUGGUUUACUUUAUCAACAUUUGUCACAGAUAUCUUAAAUACUUUGUAAUAAUUUAUGUCCUUAUGCCCUACACAGUAUGAUUCUGGAAUUAGUUGGAAUUCUGAUGUAUGUAUGGAUUUCUUCUUAAGAACUAGUCAGCCAAUACUCUGUUAAUGUGGGUUCCUAGGUAACCUAGUGAAUGCGUGGGUUCGAAAUUCAGCAACUGAUCACUGCUAUCCGAUUUCGUCACCUAUGUUUUCAUAGCAGAGUACGCUGAUGUUUAUCCAUCAAAUUAUUUCUGGUCGGGAAAUGUCUGCAGCAUUUCCUAACCAUCCUUGUGUAAUUAGUCCAAUUAUUCCAGUUACAUGUUUACCAUUUGUUAGGGAAGUACUUAGUUUAUAUUAUGUCUCGUACUUCAUAGUAUGGUUGUUGUUGACUGUAUUUGAGGUGUUUGAACAAAUCAAUUGGUUAUUUUUAGUAGAUUCCCACUUCUUUCCUUAGACAUUAGUUUGUUUAGUUUAGUAUUAGUGAGAAUUGGUCCAUAAAUCUUCCUGAUCGUUCUUCUUUGGAUAUGCUCUUAUAAAUCUGGUAUCCAUUGAUAGUCUGAUUUUGAAUUAAGUAUCCGAUUCCUCACUUAUUUUGUUUAUUUGGUUGUAUAGGCUCGUACUACCGGAUGUGGGUGUACGUAUACCUAAUUUAUUUAUGUGAUUUAAUAUUGGUGUGAAUUGGUCCAUAAAUCUUCCUGGUCGUCCUUCUGUGGAUAUGCUUUAUGAAUCUGGUGUCCAUUGAUAGUCCGACUUUGGAUUAAGUGUCCGAUUCCACAUUUAUUUUGAUUAAUGAGUUUUUGGAUGACUUUGAUAUGUUUACUAUUUGUAUUAUUUGGCACUGGUGAGAAUUGUUCCAUAAAUCUUCCUGAUUGUUCUUCUCUGGAUAUGCUAUUACGAAUCUGGUGUCCAUUGUUAGUUCAAAUUUGGAUUAAGUGUUCGAUUCUUCACUUAUUGUAGUUAUUGAUUUCUUUGGUCUUACUUCAGUAUAUUUAUUUGCGUUAUUGUACGAACAGGCUCACACCUUUGCCUGGUUGUUCGUCCUUGGAUAUACAUUUUAUAAAUCUGAUGUCCCUGGAUAGUUCAAUUUUGGAUUUCGGGCCCAUUCGACAUUUAUUUGUUAUUAUGAACUUUAGUAAAUUAUUUAGUUUAUCUUUGGCUUUAGACAAUGCCGAGGAUAUUUUAAUAUGACUUCGAGUCAUCUGUUGUAAGUCAUGAUAUCUGUUGCAGGGACUCUCCUGCUUUCCUCUAUUCCUUGGUUUGUGGUUAUUUUGUAAUCUGGCGAAUCAACGCGAAAUAAUACACUACUACUACUUUAGUUUAAUAUUUAGAGUAUAAAUAAAAAAAAAUUUUAAUAAAUUUUUUUUUCUCCCAGUAGGAGAGGAAUGUGACGUUCCAUCACUUAUCUAAGUAAUUAUUAAUGGGAACACCUUAUUUAAUUAUGGUUAAAAUUAUUUUUCUCGUAAUUAAAACAAGCCGUUCGCACAAAAUCCUCUGGAUGACGUCAUACCUAGGUGCUGUGGCAUCACUGAUAGAUUUUUGAAGUUGGCAUUGACGCCGGUCGCCAGCUGUCAUCAAGUCGAACGGAGCAAGGAGGGUGAUUGUUCUCUGCGAAGUGCCAAGAAGGGCGGUGAAAUCUCUUACAAUAAGUGAUUGAGGAAAUUAUAUUUUAGCCGCAUGGUUCAAUUAUUACUGUAUUGCCAGUUAUUUUAUUAAGUUUGUGUUUGAAUCAAAGUGACGAAAUAUAAUGAAACUGUAAGAAGAAGGAUUUUGCACCGCCCUUCGGGAGAAAUCUCAAACGACGUAUGAACUUAUAAAGACCCAACAACACCACGGGUAGGCACUUCCAGGGUUCAAUCGACAAGGGACAGGUCUGGAGGAUAUACAGCUUCCCAUUUGAUCUUGUUUAUUUUGGUUCUUCUUCCUGCAACCCUCAGAGGGGCAGUUUCAGUAACGGUUGGACCGUUACACCACAUUGGUGUUAGCUUCGUACCACGGACUUGGGUAUUAGACAUCAAGGAACAUUGGAACCUGUGAAAAGGGGUUUGUUUUGGGGACAUUUAUUUGUAACGGUUAAAGACAUACUGUUUUUUUUUAAUUUUUCAGGACAUUUAGCAUACUUAUACUUUCAUAAUUUAAUUACAUAUAUUUUUUCUUUCCUCCAAAAACAUAAGUAUACUGUAAUUUAUCAGAGCCAUACCUAAAGUUGAUAGUGUUCCCCAAAUUUACAUAAUUCCUUGGUAGAAGUUUCGAGCUCGAAUAUUCUUCCCACAUAUAUGUUCUUUACCCUUGGUUUGUAUUAAUUUUAGACUUGUUCCCAUGUAAAUUAAAUAUAUAAUUGUCUUAAUUCUCUAACUUUAAAAUCAUUUAACUUGCUUUCAUACUUUAUCAAUUUUUAUUAGUUUUUUGCAAAUAUUAUUUAACGUUAACGUAUCAGUCAUUUCCUUUUUAUAUUAACUUUGAAUCAAUCCCUAGUACCUAGCCCCUCAGGACGGUACUAGUUUUACUUGUUAUUAUUAUUAAGAACCACUAGUCAUAAAAGGGUUUUUGUAUCCAGUACUACGUUGGUUCAUUUAGGGACUUGUUACCCGUCAACUCAUUGAGAGUUAUAUAAAAAUAUUAUUUAUAUUAGGUAUUUUUAUUAUUAUAUUAUCAGGUAGUAUUCAAUUAGGCUGUACGUAUUUUAUUCGUACUAUUAUUUGGUGAAGGGUUGUCAUUUAACCUAGAUGUAAGUUGAGGGUAUGCUUCCUAGGAAAGCUACUCCAAUAAUAAUUUAAUAGGUAAUUAUAUUUAUAUCACAAUAGGUAAUUAUUUCUCAUUGUCAUUUUAGAGUUACAUAGUUACACUUGUCAUAACUUAGAGGUUGUCAAUAAUCUAGAUAGUUAUAUAUAAUAAAUAUGUAUUUGUUUUGUA